rnacentral:rRNA from 1 species
ACGGAAAGGCCCAGCUUGCUGGGGUGCUCGAGUGGCGAACGGGUGAGUAACACGUGGGUGAUCUGCCCUGCACUUUGGGAUAAGCUUGGGAAACUGGGUCUAAUACCGAAUAUGACUAUGGUGUGGUAGCCAUGGUGGAAAGCUUUUGCGGUGUGGGAUGAGCCUGCGGCCUAUCAGCUUGUUGGUGGGGUAAUGGCCUACCAAGGCGGCGACGGGUAUCCGGCCUGAGAGGGUGUACGGACACAUUGGGACUGAGAUACGGCCCAGACUCCUACGGGAGGCAGCAGUGGGGAAUAUUGCACAAUGGGCGCAAGCCUGAUGCAGCGACGCCGCGUGGGGGAUGAAGGCCUUCGGGUUGUAAACUCCUUUCGCUAUCGACGAAGCCACUUUGUGGUGACGGUAGGUAGAUAAGAAGCACCGGCUAACUACGUGCCAGCAGCCGCGGUAAUACGUAGGGUGCAAGCGUUGUCCGGAAUUACUGGGCGUAAAGAGCUCGUAGGUGGUUUGUCGCGUCGUCUGUGAAAUCCCGGGGCUUAACUUCGGGCGUGCAGGCGAUACGGGCAUAACUUGAGUGCUGUAGGGGAGACUGGAAUUCCUGGUGUAGCGGUGAAAUGCGCAGAUAUCAGGAGGAACACCGAUGGCGAAGGCAGGUCUCUGGGCAGUAACUGACGCUGAGGAGCGAAAGCAUGGGUAGCGAACAGGAUUAGAUACCCUGGUAGUCCAUGCCGUAAACGGUGGGCGCUAGGUGUAGGGGGCUUCCACGUCUUCUGUGCCGUAGCUAACGCAUUAAGCGCCCCGCCUGGGGAGUACGGCCGCAAGGCUAAAACUCAAAGGAAUUGACGGGGGCCCGCACAAGCGGCGGAGCAUGUGGAUUAAUUCGAUGCAACGCGAAGAACCUUACCUGGGCUUGACAUGUACCGGAUUGGA